AUUGAACGCUGGCGGAAUGCUUUACACAUGCAAGUCGAACGGCAGCACGGGGCAACCUGGUGGCGAGUGGCGAACGGGUGAGUAAUACAUCGGAACGUGCCCAAUCGUGGGGGAUAACGUAGCGAAAGUUACGCUAAUACCGCAUACGAUCUACGGAUGAAAGCGGGGGAUCGCAAGACCUCGCGCGAAUGGAGCGGCCGAUGUCAGAUUAGGUAGUUGGUGGGGUAAAGGCUCACCAAGCCGACGAUCUGUAGCUGGUCUGAGAGGACGACCAGCCACACUGGGACUGAGACACGGCCCAGACUCCUACGGGAGGCAGCAGUGGGGAAUUUUGGACAAUGGGCGCAAGCCUGAUCCAGCCAUUCCGCGUGCAGGAUGAAGGCCUGGUUGUAAC
rnacentral:rRNA from 1 species